CGUCGCAUCAUUGCCGUUACGUGGAAAUGCAUCAUUACUAAAAUUAAUUUUCUGAAGUUUCACUUCUCGUCGUAAUAAUUUUCCUUCUAUACAUGUUGAAGAACGCAAGUGGCUUACAUUGCCAGUCGACUGAACAUCCGACUUUUCCGUCUUGCAAUAUAUAAAAGUGGUGGAUUCUUUUUCUAUUGAUAGUGCAAUCUAAUCAAAAACUGCCAUCGAGAGUGAUCAAAAAUAUUGGUUAUUUCUUCAUAAACAAGAUUAGUAAACUCAUCUCAACAUGGACGAGUUACAAAAUUACAGGCUUCAGCUCCAACAGGUGGAAGCCGCACUUACGACAGAUCCCACAAAUGAGGAGUUGUUAAAACUGAAAAUUGAUCUUGAAGAGGUUAUCGAAUUGUCGAAUGAUCUCAUAAAAUCACAACAGCAAGAAAAAAGGCAAUCCAAUGGCAUGGAUGCACAGGAUCCAAUACUUUUGGCUGUUCUUGCAAACAAAUGGAAAGUUGGCGAUCAGUGUAUGGCACCAUGGAGCGAGGAUAGCAAGUAUUACGAAGCUACAAUAGAUCUCAUAUGUGAGGAUGGUACAGUCCACGUAACUUUUGAUGAGUACAAAAACACUGAUGUCACAAUGCUUAGUCAUUUAAAGUCGGCAGCCAAGAGGCCAGCUUCUGAUUGGGCGGAUCAGAAAUCUAAGAAAUUGCAAGCUGCCGCAGUGGCUGGGGCUGAUCCGAAUAAGCAGCGUGAGUAUCUGAAGAAAAAGAAGCAAAAAAAAUUACAGCGUUUCAAGGAGCUGGAAGAAGAGCGAGAGCAAGAGAAAAACAAAUGGAUUGCAUUCACAUCGAAGUCGGCGAAGAAAGGUGUAGUGAAGAAGAGUAUAUUUGCGACACCAGAAAAUGUGAAUGGUCGCGUUGGUAUUGGUACCUGCGGUGUGAGUGGCCGCGAAAUGACUAAGUUUAGCAACGGCGAAAAAUGGAGACGAGGCGCAUAAAAAAAGAUAGUAGAAAAGGGUGUGAACAAUAUUUCGCCGUUGUACUCAGCGAUUUGUCAAAUUUUUUGCCAGGUCUCGGUGUUUCAAGCGAUUAUUUUCAAUCGCUGCAAAAUUCAAAAAAUGCAAAAAAAUAUUGCAGCAGGACGAAAUUAUCAUUUAAACAUACUGACGAUAAAUAUUGAAGAGAAUGAAAUAUUCGCGAUCAAUGAUUCACCGAAACUCCGAUUUUUCUAAUUUAUUCGAUGAAAGUCUCUUGUGAAAUGUUUCGUCUAGAAAAAUUCGACGAAUUGAAAAAUUGGGAAAAUCAGACUUAUGGUGUAAUAGAUCACUGUACUUAGUGAUACAUUCGUCUCGCAGUAGUACGUUUUUUUUUAUUCUCGUAAUCGAGAAAACACUGAAUAACGAGGAUCAACACAGUUUCUUCAUCUUUAUAUUGCGUCACGUGACCGCGGACAUCGUACAAAUUUUGAUUGCAUUCUCAUUUAUCGAGUAUAUACGUUAUCUUAUAAAGUUUGUAAUGAAUUCAAAUUCGCGCGCGACCUUGUAUACUCUUUAAUUCUAUCGUAUUUUGUAAAAAACAUCCGCAUGAUGUGAUCAUCGCAAAAAGCUGAUGCGGAAUUUCUGUAAAAAAUGUGAACGUGAGUUACCCAUUCUCUAGAUUAUUUCGAUUUUAAAUUAAAAAAAAGUGAAAAACAAGAAAUGUUAUGUCUUAAGUUGUACUACAGAAAUAUGGGAAAAUCUUUCAAGGCUACGAAUAGUUAUUGAAGGGAGAAAGAAGGCUAGAGGAACAUUUAACGUAAAUCGAGGAGGAGAAGGUGAAGGGAACCGCCGUUUGGAAAAGCGAAUCCAUGUGGGGAAAACCUUACGGACAAUCUGUGUACCACGAGCCUAGACAAGAUGGAAAAGUGCAGAACGGCACAAAUCGAGCUUUUUCGUCGAAUGUGAGUUGAUCCAUUGAAAGGAGCAAUGUUGAAGGUUUGACCGGAACUCUGUAGCUUGGUCCAGCGCACUCGCCGCAAGGACUUCCGGAAGUGUCACUCCCCGAGCCUUGGCGGCUUGAACGCAUCUUGCUUUCUGCCUCGGCAAUACUCGGAAAAUAACGUUGUUUAUGCCAUCUUGGAGUCUUUGAUCUACGUUAUCGGAGAAAAGGAAAAAUCGAUGAAAUUGUAAGUUUGAAUGGUUUCAUUAGUAUCAUUCUUCACAACACUUAUAUUUUGGGUAUUUUUAUAAACGCGUCGAUUUUUCAAGACAAUAAAUUUGAAAAAAAAACUGUU